CGGGGCCGCCUUGCCCGCCGGUCGUCGGGGGCGGGGCUCACCUGGCUUGGAGCCCUCGUCCACAGAGCCGUUGUAGACCUGGUUGACGAACUCCGGACGGUUGUCGUUCAUGUCGAUGACGUAGAUGUACAGUCAGUAUCCAUCAAGGCCCCUGUGAACCAGGCUGGACGAGACUGCCGCCCAGGGGAACAGACGUGGCCCCGCCCUGGGGCUUCUCAUCCUGAAGGGAAAGGGAGGCCUGGUCGCUCGUAAGAAAGAGCCAGAGGAGACACCUGCACCGGGGACGGCAGGGGUCGCUGGAGCCCCAAGCAAGGCGGGAGAGGUGCCCCACCGGGAGCUCCCCUCCCGGAAGCACUGAAGCAGCCGGGCCGCCGUGGCUGAAGUACAGAGAGAGGAGUGACAUUCCAGCAUGUGGGGUCUCAGGCCCAGGGGGCGGGGCUCCUCUAAGCCACCGUGAUCCUUAAAGACCAGUCUGUCUAAUCGUGAGCGAGAGAAAUCUCAUUACAGUCUGACCACUGGGAGCCUCUGCCUAAUUCCCCAGCUGCCGCCCGGCGCGUCCGGGGCUCUGCGCCCGCUCGGGGACGCUCCACACAGUUUACCACGUUAGGAAGAAAUACUGUACAAAUGAAUUCACCAGAUCAGCGGAGAGCAGUUUCCCCUUGAUUUGUGUCUGGAAAAUGAGAAAAACAUCCGGGCCGCGUACGGCGGGGCCAUGAAUAAAGAACACAGACAGGCGUCUCCGUCCCCCACCUCGCUUUUACGACGCCACGGAGAAUUAUGCUCUUUUGCAUUUGUUAUUAAAGGACAGAGCAGAUGGUAAAA